rnacentral:rRNA from 1 species
GACGAACGCUGGCGGCGUGCUUAACACAUGCAAGUCGAACGGUGAUGCUCCAGCUUGCUGGAGUGGAUCAGUGGCGAACGGGUGAGUAACACGUGAGCAACCUGCCCCAGACUCUGGAAUAAGCGCUGGAAACGGCGUCUAAUACUGGAUACGAAACUGGCCCGCAUGGGCAUGGUUUGGAAAGUUUUUCGGUUUGGGAUGGGCUCGCGGCCUAUCAGCUUGUUGGUGAGGUAAUGGCUCACCAAGGCGACGACGGGUAGCCGGCCUGAGAGGGCGACCGGCAACACUGGGACUGAGACACGGCCCAGACUCCUACGGGAGGCAGCAGUGGGGAAUAUUGCAAAAUGGGCGAAAGCCUGAUGCAGCGACGCCGCGUGAGGGAUGACGGCCUUCGGGUUGUAAACCUCUUUCAGCAGGGAAGAAGCGAAAGUGACGGUACCUGCAGAAGAAGCACCGGCUAACUACGUG